UACGAAGGGGGCUAGCGUUGUUCGGAUUUACUGGGCGUAAAGCGCACGUAGGCGGAUCGUUAAGUCGGGGGUGAAAUCCUGGAGCUCAACUCCAGAACUGCCUUCGAUACUGGCGAUCUAGAGUCCGGAAGAUGUGAGUGGAACUCCUAGUGUAGAGGUGGAAUUCGUAGAUAUUAGGAAGAACACCAGUGGCGAAGGCGGCUCACUGGUCCGGUACUGACGCUG
rnacentral:rRNA from 1 species